rnacentral:rRNA from 1 species
CCUACGGGGGGCAGCAGUAGGGAAUAUUGCUCAAUGGGGGAAACCCUGAAGCAGCCACGCCGCGUGGAGGAUGAAGGUUUUCGGAUUGUAAACUCCUUUUGUUAGAGAAGAUAAUGACGGUAUCUAACGAAUAAGCACCGGCUAACUCCGUGCCAGCAGCCGCGGUAAUACGGAGGGUGCAAGCGUUACUCGGAAUCACUGGGCGUAAAGAGCGCGUAGGCGGGAUAGCAAGUCAGAUGUGAAAUCCUAUGGCUUAACCAUAGAACUGCAUUUGAAACUGUUAUUCUAGAGUAUGGGAGAGGUAGGCGGAAUUCUUGGUGUAGCGGUAAAAUGCGUAGAGAUCAAGAGGAAUACUCAUUGCGAAGGCGACCUGCUAGAACAUAACUGACGCUGAUGCGCGAAAGCGUGGGGAGCAAACAGGAUUAGAUACCCCGGUAGUC